rnacentral:lncRNA from 1 species
GCUUAUUAGCAUCCUCGGACUGACAAUUUCUGACAAGCCGAAUUCCGUUCUCCUUGUCUUCUUUCAAGACAUCAGUCUUUCUGGGCAUCUGCUCUGGUGGUAGGAAAUUCCCUUUCCUUCCCUACCUGACCUCUCGGUCUUAGAAAGAGGAUCCGGGUCCGGGGCGGGACUUGGCCCUGGGGAGUGGAGGACACCCCGGAAGUGAGACUGUGCAGGGCUCCACCCCAAAUCCCGUGAUUUCUGGCCGUAGAUGCCUUUGAGCUCUCCCCAGGGUCUGAAAUUUACUGUGAUAGUGAAACUCCCAAAGACCAGCAAGGAAACAAGGAGGACUGCGUUAGAGCUGGCGGUGUGUAAUAUCCAGCCUUCUGGGGCAGUGUGAGCGUUGCAAAAUGUUUAUGAAGACAGAAAAUAAAAGUAAAACCGAAGCCGUUUGUAGUCAUCCAAUGAGGACCGUUCAUGCCUUAGCAUGGAGCAAUCUGGCGUAGAAAGGGCUAACUGUCCCCCAAUACCCAAGCUCCCUUCCAUAGAAGUAAUGUAAAGUUCUCCUAGAUUAAAAACCACUUUUCCUAGCUUCCCCUCCCCAUCAUGAAUUAUGACUAAAGAAUUAUGUUCUUGCUAAAGGAUUUCUGGGAGAGAUUUUCAAAAAAAGAGUGAACAUUCCCUUCUUUAUCACCCUUUCUUUCUUCCUGGUGUCAGGAAAUGGGUGGAUGGCUGGACUUGAGCAGCCACUGUGGGUUGUGAGUAAAAGUGGAUGCUGAGGAAACUGGAGCAAAAAGACAAAUGAAAUUUGAGCCCUUAUCACUGAGAAUGAACAGAACAAUACUGAUGACUUCCUCCAUAUCUGUUGACAGUGAGGAAGAAAUAAGCACGGGUAGGUUUUCUGUAACAUGUUGAUGUACAUAAUACUUCUAUCGUGUUUGCUGUUCCUAAGACUAAACUGAUUGUCGGAAUCAUCACCCUUGCACAGAUCCAGAUAAAAUCAAUCUCACUGCUCAGAACCUGCAUGCUAGAACUAUGAUGAGGGAGUGGACCAGGUCAUUUUCAGAACAGACUUUUUAACUGGCGUGACCAUGUAUUACGGGAAGGUGUCAGGAUGUGAUUUGUGUAUUCAUUCAGCAAAUGGACUGAAUUCCUACAAUUAGCCGG